UUAUAAUGUUUUUAUGCAAAGUAUAUAUUUUGAAAAGGGGAAAAUCAAUAAAUCCCUGUAUGAAUUAUGUAAUAUUUAAAUAAUUUUCCAUUUAAAACUUGUGAAUGUCACGUGACCAUCAGGAAGAACGCAGCAUCUCAUUUCUUACAGGACGUGUUCUCUGUCCUUGUGGUCUCCCGAGCUUGUUCUUCUGAGAACACCUGGCAAGACUGUCUCCACAAGAAUGCAAGUCCGUUCUCUGCGUUCUUGGAAUUGAGAAACAGCCGUUGCCUCUAAUCUCAUCUGAGCUCAUUGCCAAAGGACAUAAUUCAGGACAAACUGAUUAUACAAGGUGAUUAAAAAAAAAAUACCACAACUUUCAGGUUGAUGUCACUCGAGUGUCUGGAGGGGUCAUAUUGGACUUCUAUGAACUUGUUUUUUACUAAAAAAAACUUUGUUAAGUACUCUUUAUAUUGGUUAAUUACUCAAGGUUUCAUCAUGUUUCUUUGAUGAAAUACAGGUUUUCAAAGGUUUGGUAUUUUUUUUAAUUACCAUGUAUAUUUAUUCAGCCCCCAAGCCCCUGAAAAAGCAUAAGGUCUGUUUAAUGACUUUGUAUUUUCUUAGGUUGUUGUGUGCUUUGUGAAUUUUGCCAUGUAUGUUUGUACUGAGACAAUAUACGUGUGUUUGUAAUAAGGCAACAUACACAUGUAAAUACACAUGUAAACUGAUAAAAAAAGGGUUUAAGGGAUGUUUAUACAUUUUAUCACUCAGCUUAAGUUUUUCCUUUUUUCCACACCACUACAUACAUUCAAUUAAUAUGCUUACCUAUCUAACCCUCCCAUUUUUCCCGAGAUUCUCCCAUAUUUUACAAUUAGUUUGCGCUAUCAUCCUGUUUAAGUAUUUUCCUGUAUUUCUCUUUUUUUUUUUUUUCCCUAUGAAGGCUGGUAAUAAACAUCAAAGAGCCGGUUGUUCCUAUACGCAACCCAUACCACCGAACCACCAGGUGCUGUUGCUCCUAUGCAAUCUUCAAAACAGUCAAUUCCUGUAGCGGUGUGUGACUGUCAGCUGCCCCAUAGUGAUAAAUAGAUGCUGUUUCCCAAAUGGACUCUGUAAAUGCAAUUUGAAGCGGAGCAAAAGUGGACACUCUGGAUUUUGGGUUAAUGUUUGAACAGACAUUUACACAUAAUAAUAUAAUAAUAAUAUUAAUGCAGUGCCAUUGAUGCGAUCCAAGACUUGUGAAGAUAUGAUCCCAAGGUAUUCAUAAUCUUGGACCUGAUGAUGGUCAUGGAGGAAUGGAGUACAUGAGACUGAUUGCGGAAAGAGCACAGGACAAAUGAGUCCCUGCAUUGAAUCCGUGGGCCAGCCUGACCUCCCACCAGUGCCCUACCAACACCUGCAGCUUCUCCACGAUGGACAUCCUGCUUCUCCAGCCUCCGGUGCCUAGACUGCAGCUCCACACAGGAAGUUUGGCCGGAAGAAUAAUAGUCAUGCCCAACAGAGCCUGGUUUCUCUCAAGGUUAUUUUUUUUCCUUCACUUUGCCAAUUGGUGAUUUUUUUUUUUCCUCCCACUGUCGCCAUGCACUGGUUUGCUCAGAUCGGGACGUGUGGAGCUGCACUCUAGCUGGGAAACAAUUUUUUUAUUAAAUAAGCAUAAAAAGUUAGGAAAGCAAUGGAAUGCUUUCAUUACAGAUUUGUGCAAUUUUAAAGUGACACCUCUGUUAAUGUCAGCAAACGAAAAAUCUAAAUCCCUUAUUUUUACAUGCCAAUGUUGACAGGUAUUCAAAU